CAAUCUGCCUUGGAGUGGGGGAAUAACGGUUGGAAACAGCCGCUAAUACCGCAUGAUGCGUCUGGGAGGCAUCUCUCUGGACGCCAAAGAUUUAUCGCUCUGAGAUGAGCUCGCGUCUGAUUAGCUAGUUGGCGGGGCAACGGCCCACCAAGGCGACGAUCAGUAGCCGGACUGAGAGGUUGGCCGGCCACAUUGGGACUGAGACACGGCCCAGACUCCUACGGGAGGCAGCAG
rnacentral:rRNA from 1 species